rnacentral:rRNA from 1 species
GACGAACGCUGGCGGCGUGCCUAAUACAUGCAAGUUGAGCGCUGAAGGUUGGUACUUGUACCAACUGGAUGAGCAGCGAACGGGUGAGUAACGCGUGGGGAAUCCGCCUUUGAGCGGGGGACAACAUUUGGAAACGAAUGCUAAUACCGCAUAAAAACUUUAAACACAAGUUUUAAGUUUGAAAGAUGCAAUUGCAUCACUCAAAGAUGAUCCCGCGUUGUAUUAGCUAGUUGGCGAGGUAAAGGCUCACCAAGGCGAUGAUACAUAGCCGACCUGAGAGGGUGAUCGGCCACAUUGGGACUGAGACACGGCCCAAACUCCUACGGGAGGCAGCAGUAGGGAAUCUUCGGCAAUGGACGAAAGUCUGACCGAGCAACGCCGCGUGAGUGAAGAAGGUUUUCGGAUCGUAAAACUCUGUUGGUAGAGAAGAACGUUGGUGAGAGUGGAAAGCUCAUCAAGUGACGGUAACUACCCAGAAAGGGACGGCUAACUACGUG